UACGUAGGGAGCAAGCGUUAUCCGGAAUUAUUGGGCGUAAAGAGCUCGUAGGCGGCUUGGCAAGUCGGGUGUGAAACCUCCAGGCUUAACCUGGAGACGCCACUCGAUACUGCCAUGGCUAGAGUCCGGUAGGGGACCACGGAAUUCCUGGUGUAGCGGUGAAAUGCGCAGAUAUCAGGAGGAACACCGGUGGCGAAGGCGGUGGUCUGGGCCGGCACUGACGCUGAGGAGCGAAAGCGUGGGUAGCAAACAGG
rnacentral:rRNA from 1 species